CCUACCCAAGGUCAGCCAGCGUGGAACAGGAGCUGGGAUUUGAACUCAAGCGAAAUGAACCGUGCUUUUUAUCCCCCAUGGCUACUGCCUCUCCAUUGCUGAAAAACGCUCACCAUGCUGCAAGAACCUUCCUCUCCUAGAUUCCUAGUAGAGGUGACAGCACCCUCCACGCCUGCCAAGUCCUUUCUGACCUCCCAGGAAUUUACUUCACUCUGCAGUCAUCCUUCCCACUCGCCCGAACUCCCACCUGUCGGUAUUCUCUAGGGGUCGUGAACGCCUUUGGAUUGCUUAGGCUGCUGAGGCAGGAAUGGGGUUUGGUGGAGCGAGAGAGGCAGCAGGCAGACCAGGCCGGAGUCACGUGGUCGGACAGACGGGAGAGGAUGGCGAUCAGGGAAACCUGAGUGCCUGUUCUCAUGAAGACUGCCAGCCCAGUCGGUUCUCCGAGGACCUGAAAAACCAGACCUCAAAGGAACAUUCUGCUUUGCCAACAUUCCCUGUGUCGCAGUGUUUGCUGACUUCACAAACACAUCUAGAUGAAAAUAUGAAAAGCCCUGUAAAAGGGUAAACGUGUGAAAUAAGGACCCUCUGGGAUCUCAAGGAAUUUACAGAUCCUUGAAUUUUAUCACUGUGCUUAUUUUUUAAUUAAAGACAAUAACUGCUCCUUACAGGUACUUAUUGACAAAUAAAAACGAUGAUGUCA
rnacentral:lncRNA from 1 species